rnacentral:rRNA from 1 species
UACAGAGGUCUCAAGCGUUGUUCGGAUUCAUUGGGCGUAAAGGGUGCGUAGGCGGCGCGGUAAGUCGGGUGUGAAAUCUCGGAGCUUAACUCCGAAACUGCAUUCGAUACUGGCGUGCUUGAGGACUGGAGAGGAGACUGGAAUUCGUGGUGUAGCAGUGAAAUGCGUAGAGAUCAUGAGGAAGACCAGUGGCGAAGGCGGCUUCCUGGACCGACACUGACGCUGAGGCGCGAAAGCUAGGGGAGCAAACGGG